ACAACAACAACAACAACAACAACAACAAUAAAAAGACAUGUCCAUGGCAAAGGAAAAGACCCAACAAGAUUGUAGAAGGGGUGAAUUUCCAUUUAAAAUCAAUACUUACCAGCCACACUGAGAGUGCUCAAUAAAAUAUUUUGUGCACCUAUACCCAAGGAACGCACAAAGACAGAGUCAGAACUGCUUUUGAGUGAUUGAGUGUCUCUUGCAGAAGCAUGGGUCAGCAAUGGCCUAACAUGGAAGAGAGGCUCUGUCUGCUACAGACCUUGUUCAUGCAGUUUGUGAUAUAAGCCCUCUCAGAGGAGGUAACCUUUCAACCCACCAAAAAGUGGCCUAGUGCACAAUCCAUAAAUUGCAGGAUAAUUAUUCUAAAGAAAUUCUUGUACAGGUAAGGAAGUUUUAGGACCACUAGAGAUUUCUCAACCUGCGGAUCUGGCAAAGGGAUUGAGAACCCUCAGGGAAUUUGACUUUGGAGGCCAGUUGAUUUAAUUAUAGAACUUCCACAGGACUGAAACAGACUGUUGGAGGGCACAAACAAAACCUUGUGUCCACCAGGAGCCAAGAGUAAGGGCAGUGUCCCCACAAAAGACUGAGUCAGACUUGCUUGUGAGUGUCUAGGAGUCUCCAGCAGAGGCAUGGUCCAAGAAUGGGAUGCA
rnacentral:sRNA from 1 species